CACCGCCUUGGGGAGUACGACCGCAAGGUUAAAACUCAAAUGAAUUGACGGGGACCCGCACAAGUAGUGGAGCAUGUGGUUUAAUUCGAAGAUACGCGCAGAACCUUACCAACACUUGACAUGUUCGUCGCGACUCUAAGAGAUUAGAGUUUUCGGUUCGGCCGGACGAAACACAGGUGCUGCAUGGCUGUCGUCAGCUCGUGUCGUGAGAUGUUGGGUUAAGUCCCGCAACGAGCGCAACCCUCACUUUUAGUUGCCAUCAUUUAGUUGGGCACUCUGAAAGAACUGCCAGUGAUAAGCUGGAGGAAGGUGGGGAUGACGUCAAGUCCUCAUGGCCCUUACGUGUUGGGCUACACACGUGCUACAAUGGUAUCUACAACAGGAAGCAAGACGGCGACGUCAAGCAAAUCCUAAAAAGAUACCUCAGUUCGGAUUGCACUCUGCAACUCGAGUGCAUGAAGCUGGAAUUACUAGUAAUCGUGGAUCAGCGUGCCACGGUGAAUGCGUUCCCGGGUCUUGUACACACCGCCCGUCACACCAUGGGAGUUGGUUCUACCUUAAGGCAAGGUUUAAAACCCUUGACCACGGUAUAGUCAGCGACUGGGGUGAAGUCGUAACAAGGUAGCCGUAGGGGAACCUGCGGCUGGAUUACCUCCUUUCUAAGGAUGAAUGAAAGUAAAUUUUCAUUCUAAAUAAUAUAACAGGUAAUGUUGACCGUCCUCAUUUCUCUUCUUAAAGUAGUGUUUCUCUUUGCUAUGGGGGCCGGUAGCUCAGUUGGUUAGAGCACACCCUUGAUAAGGGUGGGGUCGAAAGUUCGAGUCUUUCUCGGCCCACCGAUUUUAAAUCAUGGGGGAUUAGCUCAGCUGGGAGAGCGCCUGAUUUGCAUUCAGAGGUCAGCGGUUCGAUCCCGCUAUCCUCCACCAAAACACUUAGUUAUUAAAAUUUGUAAAAAAUUUAUAAUUAUAUCAAUAUCUAUAUCCGAACGUUAUUAAUGUUAUUAACUAAUGUUCAAAUAAAAAUUGAUUCACACAAAUUUUUUCUG
rnacentral:sRNA from 1 species